GCUGAGAUCAGAUGAACAAGGUUCCUAAUUCUCCAAGUGAGACGUCCUCCUGAACACAGUUUAUGGACGAGAAGCAGUGUCACCACAGUCUCCCCCUUACGCUGGGAACUCAUUGAUUAUUCAUCACUCAAAUCAUAAACUGAUAUUCAGGGUCAGACAUUGAUUGAAAUACAAACAACACAACUGACAAAUAUGAA